AUUCUGCCCAUGCGGGGAAGGAUGAGAAGCUUCGACUAAGGUUCGGCUCGAGCGUCAGCGAGAGAGCGUUGCCGCAGGCAACGACCCGAAGGGCGAGGCGCGCAGCGCUGAGUAAUCCUUCCCCCACCACCA
rnacentral:sRNA from 1 species